ACGAUUACCUGUUCAAGCUGCUGCUGAUCGGGGACUCGGGGGUGGGGAAGACCUGUGUCCUGUUCCGCUUCUCCGAGGACGCCUUCAACUCCACUUUUAUCUCCACCAUAGGAAUUGACUUUAAAAUUAGGACCAUAGAGCUCGAUGGCAAGAGAAUUAAACUGCAGAUAUGGGACACGGCCGGUCAGGAACGGUUUCGGACGAUCACAACGGCCUACUACAGGGGUGCAAUGGGCAUCAUGCUGGUCUACGACAUCACCAACGAGAAGUCCUUCGACAACAUCCGGAACUGGAUUCGCAACAUUGAGGAGGUGAGGCCCUCCGGCUCCUCCCACUGUCCCUGCUUCAGUCCUUGUCCCAGAGCCCUCUGGUUUACUCAUGAGAAGGCCAAGGUGCAGAGACACAUACAGGCCACUUGCCCACAGCCUCCUAGUCAGGGACAUGGUGGGAGCAGGGACUGAGAUGCAAGCAGCCGGCCCCAGGGACCACACGCUGGCCUGGCCCCACCCCAGAGCCCCUCGGAGCCCAUCCCUCCAGCUAGGCUGUUGGAUCUGGCCAGUGUCAUGGUCAUAAGAGAAAGGAUAUCCAAGCUUGUGGUCACCGUGAGUGUUGGGUGCUUUCUAGAGAAGGAAGGGUCUAGCACAGGUGUGACCCUUGUAGUUGGAGGGUGUGGUGAGCAGGCGUCAGUUGUACUUUGAGCUAUAUUGGAGCAGGGUGUGACCUGGUACAAACGACCUGUGUUCAGACCUUGAACCAUAGAGCAGUGAGAAGGAGGCCAACCCCUCCUCCCCUCCCAAAGCCAGCAUCUUCAUCUUCUGCUCCCCAAAGAGCUGACCUCACCCCCAAAGCCUUCCUGGCUGCCGGCACCUGCAGCUUUCUAUAACUAACCAGGUGGGGCUUCAGGUCUGAGGCACAGUCAGAGAACUUUUCCCAUCUAUAAAACCACAGCAAAAGGGCAUAUCACUGUCCACCCAGGACUCAUGGACCUCCCAGGCCAGGCUGAGAGGCCACCCCAUCAUUUGUGAGUCAUUGCACUGGGCUCACCUCCCCAGUGACCCUGAGAGGGCUGUGCUGCCAAAUUUGCCAGUGCAGGGCUGCACCCCAGCUGGGAAAGCUGUCUUUAUCCGUGGAGAGGAGGAGAGCCUGGUCUUUGUGAAAGGUCUCUGUUUCUGGCCAGCGGGCAGGAGCCACCUUCUGGUUCAUGGGAAGUGAGGCAGGGAGUGGCGCAGUAGGUUCCAGAGACCAAGUCUGAGCUGGUGGAAGAAGACAGCAGUUUCCAGUGUCCCUGUCCUCCAGGAAGCGUGGUCCGCUCCAUGGGGACCCAGGGAGACUUGACGAAGGAGCUGCCUUUGGGUAUGAGGGCAGAGUUUGGGCAACAUCAGACAGGGUGGUGAAGUGCCUGCAGCUGGUGACGGCCUCGAGUUGCGACCACCUCAGGCACGGCCUGUUUCUGGAGCCCAAAAAGAGUUGAAAUGUCAGGGCCAGGCGAGGUGGUUUACGCCUGUAAUCCCAGCACUUUGGGAGGCUGAGGCGGGCAGAUCACCUGAGGUCAGAAGUUCGAGACCAGCCUGGCCAACAUGGCGAAACUCUGUCUCUACUAGAAAUACAAAAAAUUAGCCUGGUAUGGUGGCAGAUGCCUGUAAUCUCAGCUAUUCGGGAGGUUGAGGAUCGCUUGAACCUGAAGGCAGAGGUUGCAGUGAGCCGAGAUCAUGCCACUACACUUCAGCCUGGGAGACAGAACGAGACUCCAUCUC
rnacentral:sRNA from 1 species